ACAAAAGAAUGGAUGGG
rnacentral:misc_RNA from 1 species